UACGUAUGGAGCAAGCGUUAUCCGGAUUUACUGGGUGUAAAGGGAGCGCAGACGGCAGGGCAAGUCUGAUGUGAAAGUCCGGGGCUCAACCCCGGGACUGCAUUGGAAACUGUCCGGCUAGAGUGCAGGAGAGGUAAGUGGAAUUCCUAGUGUAGCGGUGAAAUGCGUAGAUAUUAGGAGGAACACCAGUGGCGAAGGCGGCUUACUGGACUGUAACUGACGUUGAGGCUCGAAAGCGUGGGGAGCAAACAGGAUUAGAAACCCUAGUAGU
rnacentral:rRNA from 1 species